GGAGCUUGCUCCCGGAUGUUAGCGGCGGACGGGUGAGUAACACGUGGGUAACCUGCCUGUAAGACUGGGAUAACUCCGGGAAACCGGAGCUAAUACCGGAUAGUUCCUUGAACCGCAUGGUUCAAGGAUGAAAGACGGUUUCGGCUGUCACUUACAGAUGGACCCGCGGCGCAUUAGCUAGUUGGUGGGGUAAUGGCUCACCAAGGCAACGAUGCGUAGCCGACCUGAGAGGGUGAUCGGCCACACUGGGACUGAGACACGGCCCAGACUCCUACGGGAGGCAGCAGUAGGGAAUCUUCCGCAAUGGACGAAAGUCUGACGGAGCAACGCCGCGUGAGUGAUGAAGGUUUUCGGAUCGUAAAGCUCUGUUGUUAGGGAAGAACAAGUGCGAGAGUAACUGCUCGCACCUUGACGGUACCUAACCAGAAAGCCACGGCUAACUACGUGCCA
rnacentral:rRNA from 1 species